GUGAGUAACGCGUGAGGAACCUGCCUUGAAGAGGGGGACAACAGUUGGAAACGACCGCUAAUACCGCAUGAAGCAUAGGGGUCGCAUGAUCUUUAUGCCAAAGAUUUAUCGCUUCAAGAUGGCCUCGCGUCUGAUUAGCUAGUUGGCGGGGUAACGGCCCACCAAGGCGACGAUCAGUAGCCGGACUGAGAGGUUGAACGGCCACAUUGGGACUGAGAUACGGCCCAGACUCCUACGGGAGGCAGCAGUGGGGAAUAUUGGGCAAUGGGCGCAAGCCUGACCCAGCAACGCCGCGUGAAGGAAGAAGGCUUUCGGGUUGUAAACUUCUUUUAAGAGGGAAGAGCAGAAGACGGUACCUCUAGAAUA
rnacentral:rRNA from 1 species